ensembl:lncRNA
AGGGGGGGGGGGGGGGGUGGGUGGGUGUAAUUUCAGUGACUUUGACCAUGACAUGGUUGUUGGUGACAGUUUAAUUCUUUCAUAAACUGCUGAUCUCCUGGGAUUUUCAUGCACGCCACUCUCAGACUCAGAGACGUCAGACUGGAGAAUCGGCGGACUGGUUUCGAGCUCACAGGAAAGCUAUAGUAAUGAUGAUGAUGAUAAUAAUGAUAUGAGUCUUUAUUGGUCACAUAUACACAGUGAAAUUCUUUUCUUUGCAUACCCCAGCAUGUUAAGAAGUUGGGGUCAGAGUACAGGGUCAGCCAUGAUACAGCGCCCCCUGGAGCAGAGAGGGUUAAGGGCCUUGCUCAAGUGUCCAACAGUGGCAGCUUGGCAGCGCUGGGGCUUGAACCCCCGACCUUCCGAUCAGUAACCCAGAGCCUUAACCGCCGAGCCACCACUGCCCCCCGCCAAAUAACCACUCUUUACAAACAGGAUGAGCAGAAAAGCAUGUCACAACACACACCACAUCGAACCCCUGUUUACACGGACAGUUUCUACAUUUCGAAAUAUACCCGUACCUAAACGCGACGGAACAUGACGUUUCAAAAAAGGCAUCAUUCAGAAUCCGGAGCAAUUCCUGUUCAUUAAAAAGAAGCACGUCAGCUCUAUUGAGUUUGGGUUUCUGUAUUGAAAAUGCAGCAGAUAAAUGUCAAAUCAUUUCUACGGUUGUGGGUGUAACAACACUGACAAUAGAGGCACCUCGAUUGAAAUGCAACAGGAACUGUAGCCCUGGGCUAAAGUUCCUGUAUUUAAUUUCCCAGUGGAAAGUUGGCUACUGGGAGGGGGGAAAUACAAGAUCUCCUUCUAUUUGUCCUACAUAUUUGCCGAUCCUACGCUCUCUCCUAAUGCAAUUACACUGUCAUUUUGACAAGUUUAAUAGCUUGUGAAUGUCAGAAAAAUUGGUCAGAUUAGCCAUGCUGAGAAGCAAGCUUCUCGGUGGAUCUGCAAGUGAAGAUGAUGAACCUCUGCCCUCUGCUUAUUAGCUAAAGAAUAAAAAACAGUGGGGGGUGGUGGUGUUAUAAGAAAAUAAAUCAGUGACAGCAUGGUGUAACAUUUAAUGUUAGUUCCUGAUAACACUUAUAGUAUGUUAUAGUGGUUAUAAAGAAUCUUUCCUUCACCAGCCUCUCUUUACAGAGGGUAUGAGCGAACACGAUAAAUAUCUGUGUUGAUUUCAGGUUCUUUAAGGACCUUAAGCAAGGCAUAUUGGAUUCAAUUUUACUACAUUUAAAAUUUAAUACUGGUUUUCAGACAUUUUCAAACAGUUUGGCCCGCUCUUCUUUGCAGAACUGUGUUAAUUCAUGGGCGGGUUUCAAGCUGAAUUCCGUAUGGGUUUUGAGCCAUGCAAAGGUGGACUUGCUCUUGUGCUUCCGAUCAUUGUCUUGCUGUAAAACCCAACUGCGCUUGAGCUUCAGAUCUCAGACUGAUGACUGGUAGAGAGCAGGUCCAUCAAUUGUGGCAAGUCACCUAGGCAAUGAAGCAGCGACGUAUCCCACUACCACCACCACCACGUUUCACUGUUGGUAUGGUGUUCUUAGUGUGGAAUGUUGUGUUAGCGUUAUACCAGAUGUACCAGGACCCACGUCUUGUCAACAGAACAUUAUACCCAAAAGGCUUAGGGGUCAUCAAGGUGUCAUCAAGGUGUCAUCUUUCUAAUGGUGGUAUAAUGAAUGCUGACUGGGUUGCUGGUCUGGGUUCUUUCAUGAGUUCCUGGAUGCGUGGUCGAUGAGGAAUUUUGGUAGGCUGGCCACAUCUGGGAAGAUUCAACCCAGGGUCCCAAUUUUCAGAUAAUGGCUCUCAGUAUGGUUCGCCGGAGUCCCAGAGCCUUAGCUAUGGCUCUUCAACAAAACUAGUUUUAAAGAUAACUGAGUGGAAGUGAAAAACCCACAGCUUUUCAAUAUCGUCAGCCGAUAAAACUUAUCCUCUGACUGUUAGGUCUUAGUACCAAAACUAAUAGAAAUGAAUGAAUGAUGUAAUAUUAGUUUCCAUUCCAAGACACUUCCAAAAUCCAUCGAGAUUUCUGUUCAAAAGUUUUGAACAGCUACACUCUUCUAGAACAUCUCGGACGGUUUGAUAAAGGCAAAGAGUUGCAGUCCCACUGGAAAGCCCAUCCACACCACAAGCCAGAUAAAAGCACUGAGCUCGGGAUAAGAGAUGAAGCUGACAUUUAUAAAGAUUGCUGUUACCGUCUGCAAUUCCGCCGAGACAUUUCGACGACUCCUGCGGUCGACCGUGCCGCAACCUGAAUUCCGAACACCUGAGAAAUCAAACCCGAUAAUGGUUUUGUGUACAAAGCCCGCGGAAGAUACCAUCUGUAAUAAACGUGAAAGAAUUUCUUUUGGGCACUGGUUUCCUCGAUGAGUGACAAUUCAUCCCGCCGCCGAGAAUUAACUUUAUCUGGCGAAAUGGAUCGGUUGUGGCAUUAAUGCAGGAAAAGGCAUUUUUACCACGUUGAGAAAAAAGUGUUUUUUAGCAUCGGGAUUCUAUCUUGAGGUCGCUGAUAGUAACACAGUUCAUAGCUUUAGUCACCCAGCCAGAAAACAAUGUGACAAGCAAGUCUAAGUAAUGCAGUGUCACAGCGUGAUUGCCAUUUUACCAGCCAGCUUUAAUGGCAGAGUUAGAGAAGAAAAGAAAAGAAAAGAAAGAAAGAAGUCAAACACCAACCCCCCGACACACACACACACAAACACACUUCACUUCUCAAGUGCAUCAUGACUGCAAAAAUGGAACAAAUUGUUCUUGGAGAUGCUUGUAUAGUUUUUCCAUGUCGUGCACCACACAUAAAGAGUCUUGAGAUUUAACGACUUUAGUAAUGAAGUGUAAAAUCAGUGUGGUUCUACAGGGAGGCCCUGAAUUCAUGCUUGGAGCAACCUAGUUACUGCCUCGAGGCUUUCCCAACAUCCCAUAAAGCACAGUGUGGGGCUUCUGAGGUGUCCAUAGUGCACACAUUCGGCUAGAACUUAAUGAAGCAUCGCAUUGCAGUAGGAUGAUGGGACUAACCCUGGACAGCACUUCCAUCUACUUUAAAUCACCAGACCUAUUUAAACUGUAUCAUCAUCCAUCAAAAAAAAAAAAAAAAAUCCUUAUGUCACAGACUCCCAAACAAUCUGGUGAAAUUUCCACCCACUUCUAAGACUAAUGAGACUUUCUAAUGAAACAAUUGUACAGUUCAUUGUGCACUAAAUGCUGGAAGGGAAGGACAAAAAUAUAGUAAAUUGGCAUGACUGCGAUUGCAAGCACCUCAUUAGUCUAGUUCAAGGCUCUUGGAUUAAGUUAGCAACACUUUUCUUUAUUUGUAAUGAAGUCUCGCAAUGAUUCGCUACAUUAGGCACGUUAAAUUAUGUAUGUUAGCAAAAAUACGAUUUCGGCAUUAGGAAAUCUCUCGCCGCAUGCUUGAGGAAGAAUGUUAAAGUUCGUAAUUUAUCACGCCAACAAACUGACAGUUUCGGGUCUAAUUAAAAAAAAAAAUAAAUAAAAAAAAAACACAGGUUUACGUGUAUCAAAUGUACGCGUUUUAAUAUGAAAAUCGUUUCUAUAGUAACGGGUCAUUCGCGGAGACUUAUACGGCGGCCGUCUGGCAACCUCGGGCGAAUCAUAAACAGACUUAACUGCGUGUUUACUUAAAAAAAUGAAAAACAUCUGAUAGUUGAUAUGAUGAAGUUUUAACAUGUUUAACAUGUAUGGAAGGAGUCUCCAGUGUCAGCGUGUUGUAUGGGUCAGGAAGAUUCCCGCCACGGGGGAAAGCCUUAACGACAGAACAUUUUCUUGGCAACGACACAAGCUGUAUUUUUGUUCGUUUUUGUCUCAUUAUCUUACAAUUAUUAAUUGUUUACAGCUGCUACAACGUAAAUGGCAACAGGAACUAUCUUCUGUCGCAGACGCUACACAACAGUAAACGUAACUAUAAAGAGUCACGUAGUGACUAUAAAACGAUGGAGCUCUGAACAGUUUGAUGUGAUGUGUCAUUCUUUAAUAGAUUAAAAGUCGGAGCAGUCGCCAAAUGGCUUGGGGAUGCGAGGAAUAAAACUCAAACAAGCUAUGAAUUGCCGACAAUCUUCUCCCGACAAACUCGACUGACUGCUUAGGUAGCAAGCAAAACAGGACUUAUUGUACAGCCUCAGUCUUCCUCUGACAGCACCUCCAUAUCACACUCCACCAGAGCUUUUCUUUUAUACUGGGCUUUAAUCUCUACAACCAAUCCUUGUUUUGUUGAGCCUGCAAAGCCGGUAAGCACAGAUCUUUGUGUAUCUCUCUGCUUCAGCGUCGGAUUUGCCAUACGCUACACGGCAACGGAUACAAUAGGAGAAGAAAGAUGUCGGGGAAGAAAGAGUUCAAUUCAAGACCCCGAAUUCGAUAUGUGGUUAAACCCGAAAAUAGGCAAGCUCCUUGCGGUAGACUUUGAAGAAAUGGAAAAUUCUUUUGUGCAAAUAACCCUCUGUUUAAAGCCAUAAAAGGUUACAAGAAUAAACUAAUGUUGCACAGCCGAAAGGCAACAAUCUAACAAAUCUAUAAGCACAUUCAGGAACAGUGAUAAUCUUCUGCAUGGGGUGCGUUUUGCGGGUUGGAGGGCUGGUUUAUAUAUUAUAUACACACAUAUAUGUAUGUUGAACUUCCAGUGACCAGUAUGAGGGAGUGUGAGAGCGACGACACCAAAUUUAACACACCUGCCCCCCAUUCACACCUGAGACCUUGUAACACUAACAAGUCACAUGACACCGGGGAGGGAAGAUGGCUAACUGGGCCCGAUUUGGACAUUUUCACAUAGGGGUGUAGUCACUUUUGUUGCCAGCGGUUUAGACAUUAAUGUCUGUGUGUUGAGUUAUUUUGAAGGGACAGCAAAUUUACACUGUUACACAAGCUGUACACUCACUACUGUACAUUGUAGCAAAGUGUCAUUUCUUCAGUGUCGUCACAUGAAAAGAUAUAAUCAAAUAUUUACAAACAUGUGAGGGGUGUGCUCACUUUUGUGAGAUACUGUAAAUAAUUAUUACCCGAAUCGUACAACACGAGGCACUCGGAUGGCCCCGAAAACUCUUUGGCUGUGUAAUCCGCUACUGUUUCUACACGUUACUUUGCUACCUCUGCAACCACUCCUAGCACAUUCGUCAUAUCAUCCGACAUAGAACAUAGAAAAACACGGCAGUGCUGACCAGAACUAAGCGAAACGACUAUCUAGUUUUUCCAAGCAGCACCACCAGAAAUACUGCUGUGUGUGCAAUCGAUAUCUUCCGCCACAUUUUCCUGCAGACGCUCACUCUUUCGGUUUAUAACUUACGGGAUAUAAACCGACAGUCUGACAGACGUAAACCAGCUUUUAUGGAAGAGUCAAUCUCAAUAACAUCUCUAAAACGACCAAAUGAGACAUACAUUUCUUGCUCACUAUGCGUAAAGCUUUAUUCAUUAUGACCUACAAUAUAUUAGCACAUAAUUAGAUAUCUGUUAGCAAAAAAAUGAACCAUUCAGUUAUCAGCUGCGGAAACGAACGACUGAACAGUUUGUUAAGACUGUUGUGCAAAUUACCGAGCACGAACUUAUCAUCUGAAUUCACAUCUUACUAAUGUACAAUCAGAAACAUGUUAUUCCUACAGGUCCCAGCUAGGGUCAAGUAGGCUUGCGGUGAAUGAAGAUAGUAUUUGGACUCAUCCAUAGAUUUAGCUCAAUGGCUAUCAAGUCGGCCGAUUUAUCUGUCGGAAAAUGAUGCGCCUGCAUCUUUAAGAUCGACCAAAAAAAAAAACCAAACAAACAAAAAAAAAAAAUAGUAGUCUAUUUUGUACUCCUAUACAACCCUUAAUAGCCUGCUGUCUAACCUCGAAGCAGGGAAAGAAAACACAUUAAUCUGAUGCAUCUUCGCUUCCCUUGCUGCCAAACAGAUAAAGCCACGGAUGUCUUCACUUGCAAAACAUGAAUGUGGGUUUAAAUUAAGAAAACGUGUUAGGCUACAUCGCUACAAAAUAAUUCAACAAGUAUCUCCCAAGCUGUUCGACAUACAGCACAUGCACGCAACGUUUCUAUAAUUCACCUCAAUUCUGUAAUGAGCUUAGUUACAGCUAAUAACUCAUCAGGCUUAUUUACAGUACUGAAUUUGCAAGGAUUCCUGACUUUAAAACAUUAAAGGCCGCCAUUUAAACGUGUACACGGCACACGAUGUGUACAGUCUUUUUUUUUUAUUAUUAUUUAAAAUGGAAAUAAAGUUUCGAUAUCUGGAAUAUUUGAUGUUCGGGAUUCUGCACUAUUUCCAGGUCUCUGAUUAAAUGUAACCAGUGAAUCUGUGAUAUUGACCACGUUAACUACUUUGUACAAAGGUCGAGUUUUCCGCGAGUCUUAUACAUGCCGUUAAAGCCCGUGUUCAGAUGACACUACCAUGGAUUUGAUACAACAUGAGUCCUCAGGUUUUACAAACAAAUGGAGUCCAUGCACUGUCUUUAUAGCAAAAGGGGGGCAUGGGAAUAUAUAUAUAUAUAUUUUUUUUUUAACACUGAAGACAUUUGGGUUUGAGAUCAAAAGCUGAAGAUGAGUUGACAGAUCAGGAUCUCAGUUCCUCAUAUUUACACCUAGAUGUGUUAAACAACUUCAAACAUGGCACCUAUUGUUCGAACCCACUCAUUUGUUUGUCAAGUGAUCAAAAAUAUUGGAACACGACUGAUCAAUGUUUCUUGCUGCCCACGGUGUGCCCUGUUGAAUGGACUGUUUACAGAAUUAAUCGUUCGGAAUGUAUAAAUGUGAUGGAAAUGCCAAAGUGUGGAGAAAGAACGGAUCUGCUCGUGAUCCAAAACAUAGAAGGUGGUCAGUCAAGCAUGGUGGAGGUAGUGUCAUGGCUUGGGUUUGCAUUGGCUGCUUCUGGAACAGGCUCGCUAAUCUUUACUGAUGAUGGAACUCAUGAUGGUAGCAGCAGAAUGAAAUCAGAAGUUUACAGAAAUACUCUGUGUCAAUUUACAGAGAAAUGCUUCCAAAUUAAUUGGGAGGAACGUCAUCAUACAGCAAGACAAUGAUCCAAAACAUACUGCCAAUGCCGUUGAUGCCGUUAUCGCAACCAAAAGUGUCCGUAGUGUAUGAAUGGGUGUGCGAGUGUGUAUGUGAGUGUGUGAUGGACUGGCACCCUGUCCAGGGUGUACCCCGCCUCAUGCCCGAUGCUCCCUGAGACAGUCUCCAGAUUCCCCGUGACCUGAAAAGGAUUAACCGGUAGAAGAUGGAUGGAUGUUUAUGAUGUUGGAAUGCGUCACAUGAUUUUAAUACUUAAAAAAAAAAAAAAAGACAAAUACUUUAAGAUGUCCAGUUUAAUUGUGGAGGAGUGUUUACAUGGACGAAACACAACACACGGUGUGACCAGCAGCGCAGCUCCCUCAGCAUCAUUCAUUAUUCAUGCAUCUGAUGCAGGCGCGAACAGCAAUACGAGCAAUAUUCUAGGUUUAUUUCACAUUCUCUGCCUUUCUUUGCAUUAUGUAUCUCCAGGCGAGUCUACAUUUUUUUUCGUUUGUCAGUGUUGCUUGUUCUGUCCGUGCAGGCCCUCUGUGAUCUGGACUGCUUUUCCAUAGAGAAAGCUCUUUAAAGUGUACUGCAGCACCAAAGAGCCGACAUAAACAAGGUUCUCUCUUUUCUGUCCGUCCUGGUUUGUAGUCGACUCGGACAUCGGAAUUUGGCUCGGAGCCCGGUCCACGCACUCGUAAGCGUCAGCGCAAGUUUUCACUGAAGGUGAAGCAACCACCACUGGCGUCAUUUUUUUUUUUUCCCUCAUCUUUUCGAAAGUCUUUGCACUUCUGAUAUAUUUCCCUGGCCUUUAGGAAACUUUAAAAAGUGCUUUCAUAUAUCUUUUGUUAAUGAUUGGGAUGAAUGAGAAGGACGAUACCAAUUAGCAGACCUCUUCAUCAUCUACUCUAAAACGACGCUUUCUUUUCUUUUUUUUUAAAUUCCCUCAGGUGUGGUGUUAAAUUUGGAAAAAAUAAAUGCACUACCUCUGUUUUACUUUUUUUUUUUUUUUUUUUUUUUACUGCAGCCAAACUAUCAUCAUACUUCCACCAACCAAAACACAGCAGUUCCUUAAUAAAAACUGCUAGUCAGGAUGACUCAAAUGAUUAUUUGUAGUCUAUUCAUUUAAGGAUUUUUUUUUAAAAAUAAUAAUUAUUUAAUAUUUUAAUCAACUGAGAAUGUACUCUUAACAGCCAUGUUCAGGGAAAACAAAUUCGAAUCGCUUUAUGGCGGCUUAAUUUAAUCAAAACCUUUAAUAUGAAUAAUAAAAACAUACAAAAUGGCAGUCACGGUGAUUAGCAUUGUUUACGAGGUGGAUAAUUAGCAUGCACAGACCGCAACCGCCAGUCUUGGUUUUAAUACACGUCUUUUUAACCAGGGUUUCCUGGAUAGAAAUUUUUGGGGCAAAUGACCCCAAAUGGACAUUACGAAUUUUCUAUAACCGCAAUCCUUCACCGAGCCUUGCAUUUGUAAAUCGAUAUUUGUUAAACGUUUGUUUAUUUUCAUGCUUGUUUUCCCAAGACCACCGAGUCAGUCACGAGAUGUUGUCAAGGAGGACCUAGUGGAGGUAGAUGGAUGGCUUAAUUUAUUUUUUUCCGAACUCAAGUUAGCAAAAAAAUACCAGCAUAGCACACACACACACACGUAUAUUUGUAAUAUUAAUUUGUAAACUAACUUAAUAAAACAAAAGAAGGGACCCCCACUUGUAACUCAAGCGACUUCAUAUGAGGUAAAGUCCCUUUGUUUGGGAAUCUCUGUUUAAAACAUGGCUAGAGUAAAUGAAGAGGCUAUAUUUGCUCGAUAUACUGUACACAUCAGGAAUGCAUUCAAACGCAUUUAGAGGAAAUCCAUCCAUCCAUCUUCUAUAGCGCUUUAUCCUUUUCAGGGUCACGGGGAAACCUGGAGCCUAUCGCAGGGAGCACCGGGCACAAGGCGGGGUACACUCUGGACAGGGUUCCAGUCCAUCGCAGGGCACAAUCACACACACACUACGGACACGCCAAUCUGGACACGCAUGUGUUUGGACUGGGGGAGGAAACCGGAGUACCCGGAGCACGAGAACAUGCAAACUCCGCACACACAGGGUCACGGUGGGAAUCGAACCCCUGACCCUGGAGGCGUGAGGCGAACGUGCUGACCGCUAAGCCACCGUGCGCCCCGCGUUUACAGGAAAUCGUAUAAUCGUUAUACAGUCACUUGGUGGAAUUCGAUGCGGCUCUUUUUCCUCUUUAACCUGCUCAGUGUGUAUCUCUCUUUUUCUGACUCCAGUGCAUUUAAUAAGCAUGUGCUUUCGUUUUGCAUUUCUAUUCUCGGUUACUACGUGAAAAUGACUAGGAUUCCUGUCAUUUAGUGAAGGCCUUCUGGAAUCCCUGUCUCUGCUAUAGAUUCAUAGUACAUUUGCAGUUAAAAUCAAAAGGUGUUUUUUUCUUUUCCUCAUUUGUUAUAAAUAACCAGAGAAAACUGAGGAAGUGUUUGCCAAUUUCCUAUCUGACAUCCAGCGCCAGCACAGCUACUGUUAAUGUCAAGCCUUGCAUAUGCGUAGGCUGAUUUCCAAUGUAGUUUUAAUGGAAUAAUCCAAAUUUGGCUACAGAUGGAGAGAGACGAACUGAAGACAAAAUAAAUAAGAACUUUCUGAAACUACUUGAAAUACCUCCCGGCUAGUACUGCCAACUCGCUGCUCUCAUCUCUCCAUCUCCGCACUCCUAUAAAAAGGUUGUUUAAUGAGUUACACUGUAAUUGUAUCAUUGAAAGGUUACAGCGUGUCUUUUAACGCGAGGCCACUUUGUUAUUUAAUACACGGAGGGAAAAUGAACAAAAUGUCAAACCUGAUACGAUUAGGCAAUCGCAAAAAUCGCACAAUUUCAAACGUUCACCAACGACUGUAGGAGAAACACCUGUACAACCGCUCAUUCAUGCGAUUUUAUCCAGUCGGCCAAUCACGCGGCAUGUAUAAAAUCACGCGGAUGCAGGUCCUCAGUUAAUGUUCGCGUCAAACUUCAGGAUGCUGGAAAAAUGCGCUCUUGGUGAUUUUGACCAUGGCAUGGUUGUUGAUGCCUUACAGGCUGGUUUGAGUAUUUCAGAAAGUGCUGAUCUCCUGGGAUUUUCACGCAUCUCGAUCUCUAACGUUUACACAGAACGGUGCGAAAACAAACAUCCACUGAGCAGCAGGUGAAUGGGGAAAAUGCUUUGUUUGAUGAAAGAGAUCAGAGAAUGACCAGAGCUGACCGCAAGGCUACGGUAACUUGAAUAGCACCUCGUUACAACCGUGAUGAGCAGAAAAGCAUCUGGGCAGAUGGGCUUCAAGAGCGAAAGUCCACAUCGGGUUCCACACCUGUCAGUCAAGAACAGGAAUCUGAGGCAACGGUGGACACAGGCUCACCGAAACUGGGAUUGGAAAAACACUGCAUGAUUUGGCCGUCAGCAGACCGUCUUUCACUAGGCGGAUCGUUUAGCACGAACGGAUGGCGGAAGGAUCGUUUCGGAAACAGGAACAUGCAGGUAUGUGGAAAGGCUGAUGAAAUCGAGCAAAAUAAAAAGCUGUCAUAUAACUCUCUCGCUACCACAACAUGAGGUCAGCUCAGAGCUGGCCUGAAUAAUAUCUUUUAGAUGUGAUGCAAGAAGAGAACACCACCACCAUCUCAUAGCCAAAACUUCAGCUAAUCACUUGCUGACUUUUUGCUGAGGUUACAAACAUGAUGUGCAACACUGGGAAAUUAUAAUAUUACAAGUCAUCAGUUGGCAGGAAAUUCCUUUACCAAAAAAAAUGGGAACUGACUUGUUUCGUAGACCCUUUAGACGUCUUUUAUAGACACUUGUAGAAAGGCAAUAUUAGAAAAGAGCCUAUAAAUAAUUAAAUAAAUAAAAGAUCUUUAAAUCAAUUAUGGGUGCCAAUGUGCGUAUCGGGUACCUUUUAAUGCAAGCUUUUUUUUUUUUUUUUACAUUUAUGAACGUGACUAUAUCUUUAGCCUUCUUCAUCAAAAUCUUUACCAUCUUUAUUCCAAAUUGAACUCCGACUAUACACCGAUCAGCCAUAACAUUAAAACCACCUAAUACUGGGUAGGGCCGCCUUGUGUCGCCAAAACAGUUCUGAUGCGUCGAGGCAUGGACUCCACAAGGCCUCUGAAGGUGUGCUCUUUCUCUUUCUUUCGCAUGGUGUUCCCUAAUGGCAGCGGCCGCUGCCAUGAAGGGAGGUACUUGGUCUGCAACAAUGUUUAGGAAGGUGGUACAUAUCAAAGUAACAAAAACAUCCACAUGAUUGCCAGGACCCAAAGUUUCAGAGCAGAACAUUGCCCACUACCUUCGCAGGCUUGCCUUCUUCCCCAUAGUGCAUCCCCAUGCCAUCUCUUCCCCAAGUUAGCAAUGCACACGCACCCAAUCGUCCAAGUGAUGUAAAAGAAAACGUGAUUCAUCAGACCAGGCCACCUUCUUCCACUGCUCCAUGGUCCAGUUCUGUUGCUGAUUGAUGCCCAUUGUCGAUGCUUUCAGUGGAGGACCGGGGUCAGUACGGGCACUCUGAAUGGUCUGUGGCUUCACAGCGUCAUACGCAGCAAGCUUUCCAUCAUAGCAAGCAUUAACCUUUUCAGCAGUUUGUGCUACGGUAGCUCUUCUGUAGGAUUAGACCAGAUGGGCUACCCUUCGCUUCCUUGGACCACUUCUUGUAAACUUCACGGGAGCUAUCCAGCAAGCCGGGUCAAUUAAAAAUGCCUUGCUUUUGGCCAUAUAGUGGCCGUGAGUCAUUUGGGAUUCAGUCUACUUUCUGGUCUGACCAUCACUGUUACCAGUGCAUUACCAUUACCACUGCAACAACGGAAAACAAGCUUGGCUUUGUCAAGACCAGUAAUCCAGAAAGGCGCAGCAGGCUUUUUUUUGUUUGUUUUGUUUUGUGGGGUUCUCCUCAUUUAAGUAGAUGGGAGCCUGGUCUUGUAUGACUAGAAAUAACUCCCCUGGAGCAUUUCCAAGACACUAUAAGGGUUUUGCUGUUUCAGACACAUCACACCCACAAUGCAAGGAUGCCCAUGACUCUAGACUUUACCCAAUAAUCUUUAUAUAAAAAAGUAUCUCUUAUAUUGUUUAAAAAAAAAAAGUCUUAAAAAAU